rnacentral:rRNA from 1 species
ACAUGAUUACAACAUAGCGUUAAUGCAUUGGAUCCCAUUAGAACACCACAGUUAAGUGUGCUCGAACUAGAGUAGUACUGGGAUGGGCGACCGCUCGAGAAGUCUUAGUAUUUUACAUGCC